rnacentral:tRNA from 1 species
GAGUGGAAAUUGCCAUUGCCCUAUGGUCUUCGUCUGGUGCACUUCAACGGAUUACGGAAAUCGGAGAAGAAGCUG